rnacentral:lncRNA from 1 species
AACCGUCCCCACGAGUCACAGCCCGGGCCCUGCAGUGGGCGGCGACGCCGGCAGCUGGGACGAGGAGGGCCUCCUGGUCACCCUUCUGGGGGCCCGUACUGUCAUGCCUCAGAGCUGGCAAGUCGUCCCAGGGAAGACAACGGCCUUCCUGGAGGGAGGGAACCUUGUGGUUAGGCGCAUGGGGUGCGAAGCAGGUAUGUGCUCACCUCCGGCUGUGUUUGCCUUGCGUGCUGCGGCUCAUGGUGCUGGUAUUGAGCCUCUGGGAACCUCAGCUGCCUCGUUGGCAAAAUGGGGGCUGUGGCAUCUGUUUCAGGGGUGUCCGUGAGAAUUAAAUGUUAAUUUCACAUAAAAUUCUAACACACAUGGCCCAUGGCCCGUAACACACAGUGAUAAACUUCCAAUCAACGUUGUUGCUGCUGUCGUGAGAGGGCCUCUACUUGGCCGACGCAGCUAGAAGACUAAGGUCAGGGGCAUUCUGGAUGCAGCCCACAAAGCUAGCUCUCUGUGGCACUGAGCAAAGAGGGAAGAUAGGUGAUUGGGGGAGGAGAAGGGGGUUUGAGACUGUGAGAGGAACUAGCUGCUGAGAGUCCGAAGAGCCUGGGAAGAGAUCAUCUCAGCCUCUCCUGAACUGUGACCAACUGGCUUACUCAAGGGACUGGAUCUGCUGUCCCGACAUGAUGGCAAGCUGCAGCACAUCAUGCAGAUUAAAGUUCAGCCUGCCUCAGACUCAGGAUAAAAACACAUUUGGGACAGUCUCGCUCAGCCUCAUUGCAGAGACAAGAAAUGUAUGAAAAGAAAGUACAGAGAAAAAAAAAGAAUGGAAUACACAUGAAUGCCGAACCACAUUGGAUAUGUAGCUGUUCAUGAAGAUAUUCCAGGGAAGGCCUAUCUAGUAGAGCCUCAAAUCUAUUUGAAUACAAAUGGCACUCAUUAAGGACAUCUGUCUUCUGUAAUGUCUACACAAAGUCUUACCGGGGUCUUCUUGGCUCUUAUUGACGGCUGAUGAAGGAGGGGUUUAUAAAGAAAACAAGCCAAAACCUGAAUAACUUGCUACUGAGAGCAGCACACAUAUUUUCCCAAAGUGCAAAGUUGAGAAGAAGUACAAAGCUUUGUUAAUAUUCUGAACAGUACUGCUUAGUAUGAUCUAAUUGAUGGAUUUUCCAUGGACUCCCUAGAGACUGAAAAAGGUUUGACUGUCAGGAAACUUUUCUUGUGUUUAUUCUUCAAUUUUCCUUUUCCUACUUUCCAAUCAUCAUUCCCUAUUAACAUCCCUUGAUGGGUCACCUUAAGUGAUUAUUCUUUUUAAUGGCAUUUAUAACGUUUAAUAUUUCCCUGUUAAUUUCUAUUCCGACAAAGUACAUAUUUUUUUAAUCUUCACUCAUAACAUUAAUAAAUUUUUCGAAGUUCCACAAUGGAUGUUCCUGAUGAGUGUGCAUUCGUAUAAUUAUUCAGAGACUCAAACUCCUACCAUUUAAUGUCUCCUCCAUUUCUGGAGUCCCAGGAGUCCUCUUCAAGAGAGCCUCUGUCUUUGGCUGACCUUCAUGAGAAAGUAUAUGGAGGUCACAUGGGUGAUAUUUCAUGCUGAGCCUGUAAGUUACACAGAUCCCUCUGCUCACAUUUCACGGGCCAGACAACGCAUGGCCACUCCACAGUAUGGGAAGCUGGGACCUGCACUCCAGUUCUGUGCUUAGACAAUAGAAAAGGAAGAUUUUGAACAUUUAAUAGUCUUUCUUCAACUUAUAAUUGGAAAUACAUUUUAAAAUAGUCAUAUAUUCAUAUAGUAGAAUAAAAAACUUGAUAGUAGUUAUCAAGGCACUUCUUGCUGCCACCAUGUGAAGAAGGAUGUGUUUGCUUCCUCUUUUGCCACAAUGCAGAAGAGGAAGUUGGAGGCAUGUGAGGUGCAGGAAGGAUUCUAAGCAGUGGUGCUGGCUUUGAAGAUGGAAGGCAUUGUACCUCAAUGAAUGUGACUGGUUUCUAGAAGCUGAGAGUAGCCAGCCCCCAGCUGACAGCCAACAAGGAAACAGGGACCUUGGUUCUCCAACCACAGAAAAUAGAUUCUACCAACAAGAAUGAGCUUGAAAGCAGAUUCUUCCCUCGCACUUAAAGAUUCAUUCUCCAUGCCUC